UUCGUAGGUGACCUGCGGAAGGAUCAUUAUAGAUUCUUUUGGCUGUGCGCCGCGAGGCCGCACGCCGAAAUCCAAUCACACACACCCGUGCACUUCGGUCGUGGUAAAACGCGGCCGCCUUCACAUUUAACAAGUAAAACCUGAAUGUAACAAACCAUAAAAUAAUACAACUUUUAACAACGGAUCUCUUGGCUCUCGCAUCGAUGAAGAACGCAGCGAAAUGCGAUACGUAAUGUGAAUUGCAGAAUUCAGUGAAUCAUCGAAUCUUUGAACGCACCUUGCGCCCCAUGGUAUUCCGUGGGGCAUGCCUGUUUGAGUGUCACGUAAACCCUCAUCCGUGCGAUCUUACCGUCGCACGAAUGGACUUGAGUGUUGCCGUAAUCGGCUCGCUCUGAAAUGCAUUAGCUUUGCGUCUAUUAGCGCGCUCGGCGUGGUGUGAUAAUUAUCUUCACCUAGCCUUAGGCCGCUUCCAAUGUCGCUGCUUCCAAUGGUCUUCACGGACAAAUCCAAUCAAAGCUUUGGCCUCNAAUCAGGUAGGACUACCCCGCCUGAACUUAAGCAUAUCAAUAAGGCGGAGGAAAAGAAACUAACAAGGAUUCCCCUAGUAAACGGCGAGUGAAGAGGGAAGAGCUCAAAUUUGAAAUCUGGGCGGCCUCAGGUCGUCCGAGUUGUAAUCUAGAGAGGUGUUUUUCGUGCUGGACCGUGUACAAGUCCCUUGGAACAGGGCGUCGUAGAGGGUGAGAAUCCCGUUUAUGACACGGACUACCAGUGCUCUGUGAUACGCUUCAAAGAGUCGAGUUGUUGGGAAUGCAGCUCAAAUGGGUGGUAAAUUCC
rnacentral:rRNA from 1 species